rnacentral:rRNA from 1 species
CCUACGGGUGGCAGCAGUGAGGAAUAUUGGACAAUGGACGCAAGUCUGAACCAGCCAUGCCGCGUGCAGGAAGACGGCUCUAUGAGUUGUAAACUGCUUUUGUACGAGGGUAAACGCAGAUACGUGUAUCUGUCUGAAAGUAUCGUACGAAUAAGGAUCGGCUAACUCCGUGCCAGCAGCCGCGGUAAUACGGAGGAUUCAAGCGUUAUCCGGAUUUAGUGGGGUUAAAGGGUGCGUAGGCGGUCGUAUAAGUUAGGGGUGAAAUCCCGAGGCUCAACUUCGGAAUUGCCGUUGAUACUGUUUGGCUAGAGAGUAGUUGCGGUAGGCGGAAUGUAUGGUGUAGCGGUGAAAUGCUUAGAGAUCAUACAGAACACCGAUUGCGAAGGCAGCUUACCAAGCUACUUCUGACGUUGAGGCACGAAAGCGUGGGGAGCAAACAGGAUUAGAUACCCCGGUAGUC